AAACUUAAGAGUUUGAUCCUGGCUCAGAACGAACGCUGGCGGCAGGUCUUAGGCAUGCAAGUCGAACGCAUGAAGAUUUGUAGCAAUACAGGUUGAAUUGAGUGGCGCACGGGUGAGUAACGCGUGGGAACAUACCCUUUGCUGGGGGAUAACAGUUGGAAACGACUGCUAAUACCGCAUAAGCCGGAAACGGGAAAGAAUUUCGGCAAAGGAUUGGCCCGCGUAAGAUUAGCUUGUUGGUGGGGUAACGGCCUACCAAGGCGAUGAUCUUUAGCCGGUCUGAGAGGACGAUCGGCCACACUGGGACUGAGACACGGCCCAGACUCCUACGGGAGGCAGCAGCUAAGAAUAUUGGACAAUGGGGGAAACCCUGAUCCAGCCAUGCCGCGUGAAUGAAGAAGGCCUUCGGGUUGUAAAGUUCUUUUAGUCGUGAUGAUGAUGACGGUAGCGACAGAAAAAGCACCGGCUAACUUCGUGCCAGCAGCCGCGGUAAUACGAAGGGUGCAAGCGUUGUUCGGAUUUACUGGGCGUAAAGCGUCCGCAGGUGGUUUGUUAAGUCGGGGGUGAAAUCCCAGGGCCCAACCCUGGAACUGCCUUCGAUACUGGCAAGCUAGAGCGUGAUAGAGGAAAGCGGAAUAUCGGGUGUAGAGGUGAAAUUCGUAGAUAUCCGAUGGAACACCAAUGGCGAAGGCAGCUUUCUGGAUCAUUGCUGACACUCAGGGACGAAAGCGUGGGGAGCAAACAGAAUUAGAUACUCUGGUAGUCCACGCCCUAAACGAUGCGCGCUUGUUGUUGGCCCCCUUCGGGAGGUCAGUGACGAAGCUAACGCGUUAAGCGCGCCGCCUGGGGAGUACGAUCGCAAGAUUAAAACUUAAAGGAAUUGACGGGGACCCGCACAAGCGGUGGAGUAUGUUGUUUAAUUCGACGCUACGCGAGAAACCUUACCGACUCUUGACAUCCCGGUCGCGGCUUUUAGAGAUAGAAGCUUUCAAUUCGGUUGGACCGGUGACAGAUGCUGCAUGGUUGUCGUCAGCUCGUGCCGUGAGGUGUUAGGUUAAGUCCUGCAACGAGCGCAACCCUUGUCCUUUGUUGCCAUCGGGUUAUGCCGGGCACUCUAAGGAGACCGCUGCGGUUAACGCAGAGGAAGGUGGGGAUGACGUCAAAUCAUCAUGGUUCUUACGAGUCGGGCUACAAACGUACUACAAUGGCUACAACAAUGGGUCGCAACACAGCGAUGUGGAGCUAAUCCUUAAAAGUGGCCUCAGUUCAGAUUGCACUCUGCAACUCGAGUGCAUGAAGUUGGAAUCGCUAGUAAUCGCUGAUCAGAAUGCAGCGGUGAAUACGUUCCCGGGUCUUGUACACACCGCCUGUCAAACCAUGAAAGUCGAUUUCACCCGAAGACGGUAGGCUAACGCAAGAGGCCGCCGGCUACGGUGGGGUUGGUGAUUGGGGUUAAGUCAUAACAAGGUAGCAGUACGGGAACGUGCGGCUGGAUCACCUCCUUU
rnacentral:rRNA from 1 species